rnacentral:lncRNA from 1 species
UGGGUGGAGAUGAAAGUCACAUUCUUUGCAGUAAAAAGACCAACCACUUCCCGGCUCCCUACACCAGCAAACAUAUUCGUGGUGAAGUACCCGUGUGAGCUCAUGUUCAGCAUGGAGUUCACUCUUCACUUUCUCAGGCCACCCCUUUGCUUCUUCCUCUAACUUUUCUUCCAAAUGCUUCAAAUGCUCUUCUGUGAAUGGAUAUGCAUCAGCUCCAUAUGCUUGUAUGAGCUGCCGUGCUUGCGUGCUGAGUGUCUGGCCAUUGGGGCUAAUGGCCACCAAUGCAGGAAUGCCUUGGAUUUUGAAUUUGCGCUGCACUAAUGCCUUCCUUGGAUCACCUAGCGGGAGGGCUAACCAAGGCAUGGUCGAAAAGAACUCUUUGAAGGAGGAAUGAUCACGAUCACUUGAAAUGAAGAUAAUUUCAAAUGCACUAUCCUUUGCCUUAAUCUGAUUGUAUGCUUUUAUAAGCUUAGGCAUGAAUGCGCGACAUGGGGGACACCAAUGAGCUGAGAAAUAGAGCAUAAUGUGCUUCCCAGCAAGCUCAGAUACCGGUACCUAUAGUCAAAGAUAGAACAGAAACUUGAAAAACGCAAUUAGAAAACCUCUAAUUAAUGACCAUAAAGAAACCUUUGAAAUUCAAUGGCAUGGAAGAUUAGAAAAGAUUGAAGAUUUUGAACCAAGAGGAAAAUUGUACCUUGGAACCGGUCUUUUCAAUCACAAAGUUUCUGUCCCCAGCAACCAACAGUGACUCCAGAGUCUGUUCUUCGAGUUUUGCCUUUGAAAUAUCAGCAAGCUCAGCAAUCUUCUCAGCUGUAAACGGGUAGGCUUCAAUGCCAUACUCUUCAAUGAGUUCAACUGCAUUUGGGCGUAAGGUCUUCCCAUCUUGCCCGAUUAUAACCAGUGUAGGUACAUUUUCAAGCUCAAAGUGGCGAGCAAGUUUUUCACAGCUCUUGGCCUUAAAUGGCAGUGCCAACCAUGGCACUUGAAACCCUUGUUUGAAGUGUUCCUCUUCAUAGUCUAGAGAUAUCAACACAAUCUCAAAGUUCUCUCCUUUCUCCUUGAGUUUCUCAUGGAACUUCAGAAGUGCCUGAGUAAAAUCUUGGCAUGGCUUGUGAGUAUGAAGUGAGAAGUACAGGCCAACCAUCUUUCCUUCAAGCUCAGAUACAGGAACCUGCAAAUACAUGUACUCAUGAUCAUCAACUAUCUCAUUCAUGUAAAAAAGAAAAGAAAAGAAAAGAAAAGGGGCAACCCAAUAUCAUAGAAGUUCUAGCAAUGUUGGCAUGGGACAAAAAGUUGUACCUUACUCCCAUCUUUCGAAAUCAAAUAAUCCCGAGACCUAGAAACCAAGAGAGAACUCAAGGACUGAUUCUCCUUAGCAGCUGCUUCUUGCUCUUUCAAGAAAUUGAUCUUUUCCGCGGUGAAUGGAUAACCAUCAACACCAUGUUCCAUCACAACUCUAGUCCCUUGAUCAGUAGAAACCUUCCCAUUGGCAUCAAUAAUGACAAGAUUAGGAAUCCCCCUAACCUUGAACAACUCCUUUAAGCGUUUUCGGGCCUCCAAAUCUGAAAAUGGAAUGGCAAGCCAUGGCAUUUCAGAGAAGUAGCCACUGAAUGACUUAUCGUCUCUAUCAGAAGAGAUAAACACAACUUCAAAAUCGCCUUUGGAUGCCAAGUCCUGGUAGACCUCCACCAAGCUUGGGGUGAAACGGCGACAUGGACCGCACCAUGAGCCAGAAAAAUACAACCCCACAAUCUUUCCGCUCAAACUACUGAUCUCAACCUACAUAUUCAUCAAAGAUCACCAUGACCCAGAAAAUCAAACAGAGUCAUCUCAAUCUGUUUUUCAUAUAAUCAAAUGUCAAAGUCAAAACUUUGAGAUGAAAUUGGGAAAAAAAGCAAUUGCAAAUCAUUUAAUCAACUGGGUUUCUUCUAUAACACAUUUAGAUGAGCAUUCUAAUAUUCCCAAACAAAAUGCGAACACUGCGGUCUGCUUUUUUUCUUCUCCAAUCUCCAUGAACAUAAAGAUGAAAACUUUAUCAGAAAUAAUCAAUUUCUGAGUAUGGUUUACCUGGUCGGCGUUGUUGUGGACGAGGAAGUUCCUGUCCUCGGAGGAAAGCAGCGAAAACAGGUCGUGAACAACGCCGUCUUCGUCGCCGUUGGCCAUGCUUGCUGAGUCUCUUGUGCUGUAUUUUUGGUAAUUAACUUCGCCGGGUAACUCUGUGACUUUUUGAGGUUCGUUGAGACCACUAAUCACUGAAUAUAAUAACGAACAAACACGCAAUUAGGAGCUGGCUGGCUAAGUGAUUGAGUUGGAUGCUUUUUCUGUGUUAUUAAAAUAUUCUCUCUCCUCCAAUCUCCAUAGAGAUUUUCAGACUCUUUCUUUUUUCAUUAAAGAAUAAUGCUUGUUCUUUUUUAAUAAGAUAUUGCUUGUUGGUGUAAAUAAAUAUAAAUCAUGAAGCAUAAAAUCCCCUUAGACCAAGUCUUGUCACGUACACAGCAACUUUUUCUUUUGGGUCCAGUUAGGGCUCGUUAAUGGGCCGGGCCGGGCUAGUUCCGGCUCAAAUUUAAUGGACUUGGAUCGGGUCAAGUCGGGUUUUAAAGAGGAGAGAUAAAAUAUUGGGCCGGGCCGAAUUUUUUUAGAAAAUUUAAAGCCUAAGCCUGACCCAUGAGCCGGGCUUGAGAAAGUCCAUCGAGCCGGAUCGAGCUAAACCCAACCGGCCAGGCCUAAACGAACCGUACUUCAUUAAAAAAAAAAAAUCAUAAACUUAAUUAUAAAGGCAUUUUAGUCCAAAUUUGAUAUUAAACUCCCUUAAUUCCAAUAUUUUCACUUCAAACCAAAUUCAUAAAACACCCAAUAAAGUCACACAACUUAUAAGAUUUUUCACAAAAAUAAUAAAACCAAGUAUUAUUUUUGAGGUUAUUACAUAAUUAGAUCGUAAUAUAUUUUAAGAAAUCAUUUUUAAAAAAACCAAGUAUAAAAAAAAAAAAAUUAAGGAUCGUAUGAAUAAAUAUGCAAAUAUUUGGCGAUGUGUUCAAGAAAAGCAUGAUUAUAUUUGGUGUUACGAUUAUGUUUCGUGAUAUGAUUAUAUUUGGUGAUGUGAUAUGUUGUUCAUCUUAUAUAUAUAUAUAUAUAUAUAUAAUUGUUGAAUUAAUAAUUGACACAAAUUAAUGUGUUAAUCAUCCAAUUAUAAACUAGGAAUGAGUAAAGAAAAGUAAAUGAAAUGAAACAAAUUAUAUAUGUGAUUUAAAUAAUAUAAUCCAAAACCUAAAAUCUUAUUUAUAUAUAAUUAUAUAUAUGGGCUUAACGGGUCGGGUUUUUGUGGGCGGGCUGGACCGGGCUUUUAUGGGUUUAAUCGAGCUGGACCUAUGAGCCAGACCAGGCUUUAGACACCCAAAUCCAAGCUUAGCCCAACCCAAAGCGGGGCGAGCCAUUUCAAAAUCCAUAACGGGCCGAGCCAAGCUUUUUUUGAUGAGUCGAGUGAGCCCCAUCAGCCCAUAAACCCGCAGACCAAAUAAUGAGGCCUAGUUCCAAUAGACAGCAACUUGUAUGAAACUGGAAUCGGUGGAAUUUAUCCUCCAAAACAAUAAUUAACAAAAGGAUUCAUAAGAAGAAAAAAAACCUUCCAACAAAAAAACAGCAAAGAAAAAACUAGAUCGUGGUUUUGUUAACAGAAUAUAAUAUUAUUUUAUUAAAUAAAAAAAGUUAGCCACGACUUUGGGUCAAGGCUCCUUUAUUUCGUGUUUAUGACAAAAAGAAAAGGAACCUUUCCUGUGUUGGCCAUGGGCCAUGCCUUUUUCGCCUGCCCGACAUAUUAUAUACACACGUUGGCAGCGUGCAAAUAAUCAUCCAUGGGAAAGGAAAGUAUGAGUUCUUAUAUUCCUUUCAACAGUAAUAUAACAUGAGUACUAUUAUUUCUACCCACUUAUUUUAUUUUCUUAUUUAUUUUAUUUUUAAAAUUUUAAAGACAAAUUUAUUCCUUUAUAAAAUUAUUCUUAAGAACUUAAAAAAAUAUAUUUAAAAAUUCAUAUAAAGUAAAUUUAUUUUCUUUCACAACACAAUAUAUUAAUUUUAAAAAAAAGAAAAAAAAGAAAAAGAAAGCAAGCUCAGGAAACUUGCAAGAUAGGAGAAAACAAUCGCAUAUGCAAACCUGUACAACUGCAACAUCAAGGAAGCAAUGCGAUGAACUCACCAUUCAUAUGGCAAUUCCCCUUUAGAAUACAAUUUUAAAAACGAAAAGAAAAAAAAAAAAGAACCCUCCCACCCCAACCCCGAUGGCAAAUUCCCCUUCAUGGCCGCCGCUGCCGCCUCCCUCUUUUGUUUCUAUUCCUUCCUCCAUCUCUCUUUCGUCUACAAAGAACAAUCUUAUUUAACAUCUAUUGUUCGUUUUAAAAAAUUUCCCUUUUCUUCCUUAACAUCAACAACGUAAUCUUAAUCUCAAUCCUUCAUAUGGGUCGUCUCCAUCUUCCUCGAAAUUAAAAGAAUCAAAAAAUCAAAAAAAUAAAAGAUUGUACAGAAACCACCAGCCAUCACGAACCUAGCACUACCUCCCCUAGUCGACUCCUCCCACCACGAAUCCGUCAAUUAUAUGAGCGGAUGAGAUUUGCAAAUAAGACUUGCUGGUGUGAUAUGGAUCGCAGGUCCAACUAAACCCCAGUCAACUUAUGGUAGAUCCACAGUCAACUUGCAUAUUUCUUCUUUUUUAAAGAGAGAGGGGGAUAGAGAAAAGAAGAGAAACAAAGAGGAAGAGGGGGGCGGUGGGAGGUCGUUGAUGAUUCUUUUUCUUUUCUUAUUUUUAUUUUUUAAUUAUUUAAAUUAAUAAUUACAAGAUAUUUUAAGAAUAAUAGUGAGUGAAAAAAUAAAAUUAUAUAUUUUUUAAAUUUAGAUAAUGGGUGAAAAUAUAAGGUGGGUGAGAAAAUAAAAAAAGAUGGUGAAUGUGGGAACCUAAUUAAAUCAAACCCUAGGUCAAAUAAUUCCUAUCAUUUGGGGAUUAUUUGACCAAAUUGGGAGUCAAUCAACCUAAUUAGGAGUUACUCAAUUUAAUUGGGAAUUAUCCAAUUAAAUUGAACGUUACCUAAUUAGGUUGAGAUUUGAUUUGGUUAAUUACCACGAUCCCCAAUUAAAUGAGAAGUUACCUAAUUGAAUCGGGAUUUGAUUUGAUACCUACCACAAUUAGGGAUUUGAUUUACCCUAAUAAAUCAAAUCAAUCCCAAAAAGGGGAGGAAUAAUUCCCUUCCAUCUACGGAAUUAUUCCUCAGAAACCCUAGCCUCCGAGACUACUAUAAAAGCAUAGCCAUACACAAGGGUUAAGGUACGCCUAAAAUCUUACUAAAAUCUCUGCAGAAAAUUCCUCUCAAACCCUAGCUACCUCCUCUCUUUCUCUCUUUUACAUAAGGCUCCGGCCGCCCGAUUUAUAUUAUAAACACAUCCCGUACCCUAUUUUAGCUAUCGUUUCUCUAAAGAUCGAUUGAACUGACUUAGGCAUCGGAGGGCCUUUGGCCAACACCCCCCGGGUCUGGUCUUUUACUCCGAUCUGUUUUGCAGGGAGAAAGAGAGGCGGAGAAGACGAAGGAAUCUUGGACGAAUAUUCUCCCGUGAGAUUAUUUGCACAAACAGUGAAUAUAACAACAAUCUAUAACAUAUAUGCAGAAAAUUUACUUUUUGUGUUUUCGAUACUUUAUUUUUACAUAUGUAUCAAAUUGUAAUUUGCAAGAAAGAAUAUCUCCUUAUAAUUAUAUUAAAGUGAUGCGUACCUUUUAUUUAAGCAAUAUUGAUAGAGAAGUGAUGCGUACCUUUUAUUUAAGCAAUAUUGAUAGAGGAGAAUCAAAUACAUGACAUUACUAGACAUUAGAUACUAGUAAUUCUUAAUAAAGUGAAAAUGGAAUGAAACAAAGACAAUGGAAUGAAAUGAAAUCACAGAUCCUAACAAUGGAAUGAAACAAAGACAGUGAAAUGAAAUCACAGAUUUAUGUAAAUGCACAACCUCAUCAAAUCUUAUAAUAACAUUGCAGCAUCUGAAACGACAAGACAAUACAUUGGGACACAACAGAAAGAAACUAUUCAACAUAAACAACUCUAAUAAUCUCCAUAUGAGAUUUUACGCCUUAAAUCACACACAAUCUCCAUAUGAGAUUUUUAGCCUUAAAUCACACACAUACUUCUUAAGCUUUUUUACACACAUUACCAUCGCACUUAAAUCCUUCUUGGGGAGGAUCCUGUUCCUGCUUGGCAUCACUUUUGGUUCUCUUAUCUUCCUCCAAUGCACACUUUGGGUGGAGAUCAAAGUUACACGCCUCACAGUAGAAUGACCAUGCCCCUCCCGGUUCACCACACCCGUCACAUACAUAAUUUUUACGGCGAGCAAGCACGAGCUCGUGCUCCUCAUGCUGUGCACUCUUCAACUUCUCAGGCCACCCCUUUGCCAUCUCCAAAUACUCUGCUUCUAUCUCUUUCAGCCGCUCUUCAGUGAAAGGAUAAGCAUUAGCCCCGUGCUGCAUAACGAGGUUUCUUGCUUCUUUUGUGACUGUUUGGCCAGUAGGACCAAUGGCUACGAGCAUGGGGAUGCCUUUCACCUUGAAUUUGCGGCUCAAGGAUGCUUUUCUCAAGUCACCAAAGGGAAGAGCAAGCCAUGGCAUUCCAGAGAAAAACUCAUCAAAAUCGCCUUGGUCUCUGUCACUAGAAAUGAAAAUAACUUCAAAUGCAUCAUCCUUUGCCUUAAUCUUGUGGUAAGCUUCAACAAGUUUUGGUAGAAAGGCACGGCAUGGAGGGCACCAAUGAGCUGAGAAAUAGAGGAGGAUGUUCUUCCCCACCAAAUCUGACACAGGAAUCUGAAUCCACAAAUAAUAGUUGUCAUUCAGUUAUUACCACAAACAGCACAAACACGCAUACAGAGAGUUGUCACCUGCCCUGACAAAAGGAACCUGCGGGAUUUUUGCCCCACAAUGCACACAAAAAUCUCACUUUUAAAACCAUAAAAGGAGGUUAAAAACGAUUAUCUUACCUCAGUUCCACCUUUUCCAAUGACAAAGUUUCGAUCCCCAGAUACCAAAAUUGACUCCAGGGUUUGAGCUUUCUCCUUUGCCUUUUCUAUCUCAAUAAGCUCUGCAAACUUCUCUGGGGUGAAGGGGUAAGCCAGAACCCCAUGCUCUUCAAUGGCCUCAGCAACGUUCUUACUAACAGUUUUACCAUCUGCCCCAAUAAUAACCAAAGUGGGUAAGGUUGAAAGCUCAAAGUAUCGAGCCAACUUCCCAAUAUUUUUGUCCCCGAUUGGCAAGGAAAACCAAGGCAUGUUCUUAAAAUCUUGCUUGAAUGAUUCUUCAUCAUCAUCAAGUGGUAUCACCACAACCUCAAAGCUCUCUCCAUUUGCUUUUAGCUUCUCAUAAACCUCCAAAAGUUUUGGAGUAAAGUCAACACAUGGACUGUAUACAGACAAUGAAAAAUAGAGACCCACUAUCUUCCCUUCAAGUUCAGAGACAGGCACCUUAAUAUAUGCGCACAUUGAGAACAACAGUCAGAUUGGGGCCCGAAAUACAUUUUAUGAUACAUGUAUAAAAAAUGAGACUAGUAGUUAGUAGGCAUAAACAAGCAGUGACAUUGAAACUUACAUUCUUUCCGUCAUUUGAAAUUACAAAGUCACGUAAGCGAGAGACCAAGAUCGUUUUCAAGGACUGAUCCCUUCUGGCUGCUGCUUCUUGAUCAUUUAGUUCUUUUAUCUUUUCUGGUGUAAAAGGGUAGCCGUCUACUCCAUGCUCCUUAAUAAUCUCAACUCCACUAUCACUCAAAACUUUGCCAUCUUCACCAAGGAUCACAAGAUGGGGUAUCCCUCUGACCUUGAACAGUUUAUCCACGCGAUCACGUGCCUCUUUAUCAGAAAACGGAAUUGCAAGCCACGGCAUCUUGGAGAAGUACCCAUUGAAUGACUCAUCAUCUUCAUCAGCUGAGAUAAAUACAACCUCAAAAUCACCUUUGGGAGAAAGUUCAUUGUAGGCCUCCACUAAAGAAGGGGUGAACCGUUGACAUGGACCGCACCAUGAUGCAGAAAAGUACAACCCAAGCUUUUUCCCCUUCAAGCUUUCAACUUUAAUCUGAUCAAGAAUUUAACAAAUGAUUCCUCUCUCUCAUAUUAUCCCCACAGGAUCCUAAGAUAUGACUACCAAUGCCUAUGCUCGAUCCAAACCCCUCUACAUCUUAAAAAUCAAUCUUCUUUUCCACUAUUUCAGUGAACUUUUCUAAUCACUACUUUUAAAUAAACCACGAUUCGAAUUAAUCCAUUGCACACAUAUCCGAACAGAUUAGAAUUCAAAUUCAUAUAUGCAUAAAAACAAUAUAACUAUUGAGCAUAUAUACACAAACAAAUGCUGAAUACAAUUCACCCAUCCCUGAUAUGAACUUAGCCUAACCCAAUCCAAAACCUUGCAAACAGAGCAAUUGAAGAUAGUAACUUCGUUUUUCUUAUGACAGUCAAACUCAGCCUCCAUUUAUUUUCUAGUUGCGAAUACAUCUAUCUACCACUAUGAUGACAGACCAAAUUCAAAGACCCCAAAUUGACUCUAAUUGUGUUUGUGGGUAUUGUUCGUGUUAGCUUGAUUUUUGUAGUGGAGUUUGCAUUGAGUAGCUUGUGGGUUUGUGACCACAAAACAGAGAUAAGGGGUGGCAAUUGAGGUGUUUGUUGGUUUAGCCAUACUCCCCAUAAUCUCCUAUGGCGAUUUCAGGGCGGAAGGUGAUGAAAUUGAAGGUUAGAGCAUCUGACAGGAUGGAAGAGGAGAAGGGAAAAGGUGGGGGUGUGGGUGUUGGUGGGGCGGGUGGGUCGGACUGGGGUGGUGGUGAAAUUGGGUGGGAGGGAAGGAGGUCGUACAGGCAAAGAUUUUUCAAAAAAUAUAUAUCCUUCUUUAUUUUUGUAAAUAUAUAUACUUUCUAAUUUUUUUAUUGAUGAAUUAAACUAUUUUUCUUUUUCUUUUUAUUUAUUUAAAUUUUGUCAAACCACACUAUAUGAACGUUGCCAUAUUUACUAGACAUAAACAGCAAAUACAUCUACCGACCAGUGUGACGACAUACCCAAUUCAACGACCCCAAAUUGACUCACACAAAUUUUCCAUAUAAAUCUGUAGAAAAAACUGAUUUAAAAAUCCAAAUAAAGAUUCAUAUUAUUUUAACUGACCCUACGUUUUCUGGAAAAAAAAUAAAUAAAUAAUUAAAGAAGCAGCUUAAAACACGUUCUUUCUUCUUUGUUCUGUCGCUCAAGAAGCUUGUAGCCGCUGCCUCCUCCUCCAAUUCUACAUCGCAGUGGAGGGAGGUGUGGCUUCAAUUACACACCCUCGUCAUCGAUUCCGAAAAGUGUGACCAACCCAUCAUUGAACAUCCGCUUCAAUACUCUUUGGGUGUGAAUCUAAUAAUUCUUCUCUGAUUCUUUCUUUGGUCUAAGAAAAAACAAAUUGUUUUUAAAAAAUUUUGAUUAACCUCCACGAAACUCUCAUAUAGUUCAUCUUCAGUUUUCAGAUACUAUUUUCUUCGGUUACAGAUUGUAAACCACAGUAUAUUUUCUUCCACUGUUGUAGUUUUCUACUGGGUUUGAUUGCAACGGGUGCAGCGCUGUUGAAGGUUGAUUGUCUUCUGUUUUCAUCGAUGGGUUCUGAGGUGAAAAUAAUGCAAAACAAUCAGAUAUUGAGAGGUGAAAAUAUACCUGAUCACCAUUGUUGCGGACAAGAAAGUCCCUCUCGGAAGAAGAAAGCAGCGAGCAAAAGUCGUGGGGUUCGCUGUUGACCAGCUCAGCGACGUUUUGUUUACUAUCGGACAUACUGGUUUCUCCUGGAUUUUCUUCAGCAGGAUUGAAUUACUCACCCUUCUUAUUUGACCCUCACUUAUACUCCUCUUCUUAAGACCCUCACUUAUAGUUGUUCUUGCGGACUUUGCUCUCUAUUCCACCGCCUUGGCUAUUAUAGCCACAUAUUUGUUUAUCUUCUAGACAAUUCUGGCUGCUGACUUACUUUUCCAGAUUUUUCUAUACUUAAGCGCAUGGAUGCGCCCAAAUUUCAGCCCUUGGAUCACUUUGAAUCUAUGGCUCUUAACAAACACUGAAAUUGAAUCCCACUGUACAACCGGUGGAGAAAGAAAGAGAAAAAAACAAAUCAAAAAAGCUGACAGCCAACAUGGGCUAUAUAAAAAAAAACAGUCAUGUAGUCAAAGAGAUCAGGACUGUUUAUAUAUAUAUAUAAUUUAUUUAUUUUUUGAGUUAUAUAUAAUCUCGAUUUUUUGGACCACAGGAGUUCAAGAGAUUGUGAUCACCCACCAUUGGAUAUUAAUCUAAUGGUUCAAAAAAGUUUUUUAAAAGUGAGUGAACCGUUGAAUUUACAUCUAAUGGUGAGUGACCACAAAUCUCUUGGACUCCUGUAGUCCAACAGAUCAGGACUGUAUUUAAUGUAUACGAAUAGUAUGCUAGUUUUUUUUUUAUUAUUUAUUCAAUUUCUCUUUUGGGUUGAUGUAUACGUAUAUGAAAACUUAAAGUAAGAAUGUAAUUAACUGAAAAAACCAAUAUAAAUUAAAAGAAAAUUAUAAUAAACAGAAAAUUUUAAAUAUAUUUAGAUUAAAAUAAUAAUAAUAGGCAUUAAAAAAUUUGUUCCAUGUUUUUUUUCCACUAAUCUCACUUCUAUUAUUUUUCCAUUACUCCACCAGUAACUAGCAUGUGAAUGAUUUCUAUAAAUUAAAAACCACAUAUUUUAGUAAAAUAUAAAAAUAUUAGGAAUGGCCAAAAUUAGGAAAAAUAAUAGAAUGAUCUAAAGUUUCAAAAAGUAGUUAGUAAAACAUUAGAUUUUUACAUGUCAAAUAUUUAUUUAUUUGUAGUUAUGUUAAAUUUCAAUUUUAAGUAAUCAUGAUAACAUCUUGAUUACCAUUUAUAAAAUAUAUAUCUCGAUCAUUGAAAAUUUUGUGUGCAUAAAAAUACAUAAAAAUUAUGCAAAUGUUAUUUCACCAAAUAUUUUAAAAUCUAAGAAUAUAGAUUUUUAUAAACUUGUUCUUAGUUUAAAGUAUAGUCCAUAUUUGCAUAUAAUAUAACAUAUUAUUGCUAAUAAUUUAAAAUCUAAGAAUAUAGAUUUUUAUAAAAUUGAUUCUUAAUUUAAAGUAUAGUCUAUAUUUUCAUAUAUAUAACAUAUUAUUGCUAAGCAAAAGAACCCUAUCAUACACAAGCAUAUGAUCAUAUAAAUACUUCUUUGUAAAAUCGAUCAAUUACUAAACGAAUUUUUUUCUUCAUGUUUUCAAUGAAAUUUCUUUUUUAUUUUUUCGUUGUGUAUUUAUAAAAAUAUAUAUAAUAAAAAUAAUCAAAUAUAAUAAUUCUAUAUUUAUAAUAUAGAAUUAUAAAUAAAUAUUAAAUGAAAUAUAUAUAAAUAUGUUAUACCUUAAUUUAUAAAGAAAAUGACCCAUAGUACAAUGCUAAGGUAAGAGUAGACAUUGAAGAAGUAAAAUUGGGUCCUUAGGUUUGUAAACACAAGACUUUACAUCAUUAAGGACUACUAUUACACUAUCAUGGACAUAUGCAUUCCAUAAGCUUGUAAAUCAUAUCAUUAAGUUUGUACAUUUCAAUAUUUGGUUUCGCAGACUUUGCACCUUCGUUACAACAUUAAGGUGAAUCAUAAUCCAUAACAUUGUAAUAUUCAUUUACAAAGAAAAUGAUCCCCCUUACAACAUUAAGGUAAAUGUGGCCUUUAGAGAAGUAAUUGUGAAACUUAUUCUUGUAAACACUAGGGUUUACAAUAUUAAAAUCCAUUUAUAAUUACUUGGAUGUCAAAGCUCCAUAAACUUAUAAAUAUAUCCAUAAACUUGUAAUAUCAUAAUUUACGAUAGAAAUGAUAUCUUUUACAAUAUUAAGGCAAGAGUGGACCUUGGAGAAGUAAACUUGGUCCUUAUUCUCGUAAACACAGUGGUUACAACAAUAAGGACUCAUAUUACAAUGGUUUGGACAUAAAUGUUCCAUAAACUUAUAAAAUGGAUCUUUAAUCUAGUAUAUUACAAGAUUUGGGUUCCCAUUUACUUGUUUUUGCACCAUAAUUACAAAGUUAAGGGUCCUUAAUAAUCCAUAAUCUUAUAAUACUAUAAUUUAUAUUAGAAAAGAUCUAUCGUACAAUGUUAAGGUAAGGAUGGACAUUGGAGAAGUAAAUGUGGUUCUUAUUCUUGUAAACACAACGGUUUACAAUAUUAAGGACCCUUUUUACAAUUACUUGGACGUUAAAGUUCCAUAAACUUAUAAAGUGUAUUCAUAAACUUGUAAUAUCGUAAUUUACAAUGGAAAUGAUAUCAAUUACAAUAUUAAGGCAAUGGUGGACUUUGAAGAUGUAAAUUUGGUCUUUAUUCUUGUAAACUCAACAGUUUACAACAAUAAGGGCACGUAUUACAAUGGUUUGGACGUAAACAUUCCAUAUACUUAUAAAAUGGAUCCUUAAUAUGGUAUAUUACAAGAUCUGGGUUCCCAUUUAUGCAUUUUUUGCACCAUAAUUACAACGUAAAGGUUCCUUAUAAUCCAUAAUCUUAUAAUACUAUAAUUUACAUUAGAAAGGAUCUCUCUUACUUUGUUAAGGUAAGGAUGGACCUUGGAGAAGUAAAUGUAGUCCUUAUUCUUGUAAACACAAUGGUUUACAAUAUUAAGGACCCCUUUUACAAUUACUUGGAUGUCAAAGUUCCAUAAACUUAUAAAGUGUAUUUAUAAACUUGUAAUAUCGUGAUUUACAAUAGAAAGGAUAUCCAUUACAAUAUUAAGGCAAGGGUGGACCUUGGAGCUGUAAACUUGGUCCUUAUUCUUGUAAACUCAACAGUUUACAACAAUAAGGGCUCGUAUUACAAUGGUUUGGACGUAAACGUUCCAUAUACUUAUAAAAUGGAUCCUUAAUCUAGUAUAUUACAAGAUUUGGGUUCCCAUUUAUGCAUUUUUGCACCAUAAUUACAACAUAAAGGUUCCUUAUAAUCCAUAAUCUUAUAAUACUAUAAUUUACAUUAGAAAGGAUCUCUCUUACUUUGUUAAGGUAAGGAUGGACCUUGGAAAGGAGAAGUAAAUGUAGUCCUUAUUCUUGUAAACACAACAGUUUACAAUAUUAAAGGCCCCUUUUACAAUUACUUGGACGUCAAAGUUCCAUAAACUUAUAAAGUGUAUUCAUAAACUUGUAAUGUCGUAAUUUACAUUAGAAAUGAUAUCCAUUACAAUAUUAAGACAAGGGUGGACCUUGGAGAUGUAAACUUGGUCCUUAUUCUGGUAAACUCACCGGUUUACAACAAUAAGGGCUCGUAUUAUCAAAUGGAUCCCUAAUCUGGUAUAUUACAAGAUUUGGGUUCCCAUUUACGCGGUUUUGCACCAUAAUUACAAUAUUAAGGUUCUUUAUAGUCCUUAAUCUUGUAAUACUAUAAUUUACAUUAGAAAUCAUCUUCCUUAUAAUGUUAAGGCAAUGGUGGACCUUGGAAUGUAAACGUGGUCCUUAUUGUUGUAAAUGCAACACUUUACAACAUAAGGACUCGUACUACAAUUUUUUUGGAUAUAAGCAUUCCAUAAACAUGUAAAAUGGAUCCUUAAUCUCAUAGAUUACAAAAUUUGGGUUCCAAUUUACGCAUUUUGCCACCAAGAUUACAACCCGGAAUGACCCAUUUUAUAUAACCAAGUACAAAGGCCUUGGAGAAAUUUGAACAUGUUUCACAUACUAUAUAUGCAAUUGCCAAACAGGUAAUGGUAAUUGCAUACCGUAAUGCAAUUGCCAAACACGCGACAGUAAUUGCAUAGGUUAUUGUCAGUCCAAGUUGGUUUCUAAGUUUAGGCGAUUACAACUUUUGUAACUUAAUGCCAAACCUCGUAGCCCCAUAAUUGAUGAUCGGCCAUUAUUUUUUAUUAUUAAUAUAUUCAUAAUAUAUAUAUAUAAAUGUCCCCAAUAUGAGUACGAAUGAAAUAUGCACAAAAUUUUCUUUCUAUUAAAGUUCAAAACGACGUAUAACUACAAAAUAACAAGACCAUGUAAUUUGCAAUUUUUUGUCUGUAACUGAUAUAUUCUGGCUAGGCAAUUGCACUUACUUACAAUAGAAACAAGGAUUACACAAGCAAUUGCAUAUUGGUCCUCAUGAAAUUGCAUAAUGUUACUUAUGCAACUGCUUAAUAGUAAUGCAAUUGACAGACAGAAAUAAACUAAGCAACACGAGAAAUGCAAUCAACUGCCAAAACUUGGCCUUUAAUUGAUUUCUAACAUAAAUUGCAUAGCUUAAUUAUUUUUUGAGACUAUCAGAAUUAGAAAUAUUUGUAUGCAUUGCAUGAGUUGUGUUAUUAUUUAGAUCACAAGCUACAAUACAAUUUCUGCUCUGCUUUUUGCCAGUGACACUAUUUAUGGUCUUAACCGCAUAAUGCACCACACUAGCUAUCAAAAACUUGUGUUUUUCUGAAACAAUUGCACUAUAAGUUUAUGCUCUUAUUCACUUGCACUUCCUGUUCAAUUUAUAUAAACAAGUUCUUAUAAAGAAUCAUGGAAGAAGAGAAUAACUCAAACAAAAUCCUACAUCCAAGCAUUUGUUUUGUGCAUGCAGAUGGGGCAACCCCAAAUAAAUUCACUCAUUAUCCAUAUCAUACACAAGUACAUUAUUAAAAUAAAAAAGCCACCAAAAUACCACCAAACUUAUUAUUAACAAUAUGAAAAAUAUGAAUGGAAAUUUCAACAUAUAAUAUGAACUUGAGGAGCGCCAUUCAUAUUCAACAACAACCAAAAUAAAUCGUAUAAUAUGAAUGGUAAAUUAAUCACAAUAAAGAUACAAGUUCUAGAACUUCAAACUAGCCUGGCAAAAAAGGGAAUUUAAAUAUAAAAUUGCAUACCAAGCAGAUCCAACCAAUAGUAAAGUAAACUUGGAAUGCCAAAAAUAUUCAACAAAAAACCUGAACAACAUAAAACCCAGAAAAUAUUAGGCUAAAUAAGAAAUGGAAGAGAAUAAAAAAGAAAUAUGAAACAAAACCAAGGAAAAAAAUUGUUCCUGAUGGGUGAGGUUUUCAGUGAAACUUAAAUCUGCGAUGAGAUGGGGUUCAAGAUUCGAAUAUACAGCAAUAAGACAUUAUAGCUGGGCUGAGAUGAGAUUGAAGAUCCCGCACGCAGUUUGCAUCAAGCCUUUGUCACUGUUGAGAGAGAGGAGAGCUUAUCAAUCUGUAUAUGGGAGGAAGACUCAGUCACUGCCAUGAAGAAAUAGAGGAGUCGAUGUUUUAGAUGGGUUGUUGGUCACCGUCGACAAAGUGAUAAAAGAGAGGGAGCUUUUCUGUUUUUGAAAAAAAAUCUCAAAUGAGAUGAGGGAUUAGGGUUGAGAUGGAGAGAUGCUAUGGUGUAGAGGAGAAAGGCCCAUCAUAAUCUUUUCUUUUUCUUUUUCUUUCUUUUUAAAAAAUAAAAUAUAUAAUAUUUACCUGCUACCUGUUGGGGCAGUUUAAAAAAAGUGGUGCAUUGGUGCGCCGAGUGCACCAUAGACGUUGCCCAAGUGUUGACUACCUUCCAUAGGCUAGGCUUUAUUUUCCUUGGGCUGAGUUAAGUGAUGUACUGGUGUUGAUUUUUAAUAUUUAAAACUUAAAAUUAGAAAUUACCGAGAUUGUGAUGUAUUGUGAAAAUGAGGGGGUUUAGGUUUGGGUUUAGGCGGAGAACUCAGGGGCUCUAUUUAUAAUAUAAUGAUCGAGGACAAAAACAAAAUUCAUUUCUUUUGUUGGCCUUUAUUAUUAUUUUCUUGGAGAGUGGGAAAAAGCAAGAGCAUCUCUUUGGGACUUGCGUUGGAUGCAUCAACAUGUAUGUGUCAGCCUUUUUUAUUUAUUUAUUUAGUACAACUGAUAGUUCAACUAGAGGAGAAAGGAAUUUCUCUCACACACAACUAUCAUAUAAUGGGAGUUCAGACUUAAGACCUUUGGUCUGUAAGUCAAUACUCUUUUCUAUUGGGUUAUGAGCACACUAGCCUGUUAAAACUCAAUACAAAUCUAAAAUAUAUAUUUUUUAACUUAAAAUAUACAUAUAUCAAGGAUCUUUAACUUGUAGAAAUCAAAAUACAACCUAAAUAAGAACAUCCAUGAUGAGAGGUGUAAAUUCGAGGGUGUAAAGUCACUUUUACAUCUGCAACUAAUGUAAAUCAUGUUUUAUCUGAUGGUGAAAAUGUAAAUCCGAAGAUGUAAAGUUGAUUUUCUAGUAUUAAUUCAUUUUUGUGUUAACUUUUUAAAUUAUUAUUUUUUGUUUUUCCAAAUCAAUGGAGUAAACAAAAUUUAAAUCGCAAUAACAUAAGAUUAAACAAGUUUUGUUGAUUUAUUUUAGUUGGGCAUACAUAGAGAAAUUUUUUUUCCCGAAAUGUUUAGAUCUUUUUGUUUGAAUUUUUAGGUCAUUUUUUCUCGUCUUGUAACAGCCGUUGAAUUUCAAACUGAAGAAGAUCAUAGUUGUCUGUUGGAGGAAGAGAGGUAGUGCGCUUGCAUCACAAGCAACACCCAUUAAUUGGAGAAACACUUGUGUGAAACGAGAAUAUCACUAUUUUGCUAUUCUCGAGCAAUCAUAACACGGCACGCGUGAUAACUUUUCAACGUGAAAAUUUAUGAUUGGUUAGGAUAGCAAAACAGUACUAUCCCUAUUUCAUACAAAUUUUUCUACAUUAGCUGGGGCCUGCAUUUACUCCCUCUCAUCCCUUUUUUCUACACCAACUUGGUCUUCUCUCUCUUCCUUUACCUAUGUGGACCCCAAUUGGAGGUAUACACAACCCGUCUUUUUUCCCAUCUCCGACAAAAAAUGUAGAUGUCCCUUUACACCUCAUCCUCAGUGUGGAUGUUCUCAGGAAAAUUCCCAAACCAAAUAGACAUAUCCGUGACUUGAUUAAUUUCAAGGUAUGAAUGUGAUAAAAGUUAUUGUUCUAUUGUUGCCUUUUGUUUUUUCAAAUGCAAUUCCUAUUUACCCAAAACCAAAUAAAUAUAAAAUAUGUCCAUAGCAUUUAAGCAUGUAGUCAUUUUUUAAAUCUAUUUUGUAGCUUGGCUGCUCAAUAUGCAAACAUUAAUAUCAAGUCCUCGAUUCCUUGCAAUUCAUAAUUUAUUAGAAGUGUGAACAUUGGAAUAGUAAUACUUGUAUUCACAUUGACCAGAAAACUAUUGUCUAUUUUUUUUAUAUAUAGAGAAAACGAUAAAAUAGAUUGAAGCAAAACACCAUUACAUAAUAUCAUCUAUUAAAACAUCUUGAAUGAUAUAUGGAGAUCCUAAGAAGAUAAAUUCGAUAAAAAUAAAGUAUAACAAACAAGACUACAUGGUACUUGAUUAGUUUCACAAAACACGUUAACAAUAUUAACAACUGAAACUUGAGCCAAAACUAUUGUUCUUUUGUUUUGGUGUGAACACUCACAAAACUAUUCAAUAGCCCUCAUUGUCAAGACAUUUCUUUCAAUCUUUCAUUUUUCCCCACUUCUUGUCUUUUUUCCCAAUUGGCUCCUAAUUUGGUUGGUUUUUUUCUUUAUAAUUUUGAAAACACCCCAAUUUCGACUUCUCCUUCCAAUUGAUAAAGGGAAAUCUAAAAGAAAGUGGAGUAAUUAGAUUGAGGAAGACGACAAUAAUGCAUAAUGUAACUCUAGCAUUGAUUGAUCUGACAAAACGACUGAAUAUAUGACGUAUGGGCUUACAAAGAAAAGCUGAAAACUCUCGAUCGAGGUUCACUACUGACGGAUGUUAUCAUCCCAACUCAAAUGCACCAGAUUCCAUCAGAACUCCGAAGUUAAGCGAGUUUGGGUGAGAGUAGUACUAAGAUGGGUGACCUCCUAGGAAGUCCUCGUGUUGCAUCCAUUUAUUUUUGUGUAAAAAAAAAAGAAGCCCGCUACUGACAUUGACAUACACGUCCGUUGUCCAGCCCAUGCGGCCCAUGUUCUCUAUGGGGCUCAAUUAAAACUAAACCCAUAAGCUUUAAGCCCAUCAGGCCCAAAAAUCACAAAAUGCUCUCGUACUCUUCCCAACGUUUCUCAUCCCACCUAGCAGAAGCCUUGCCUAAAAAAGAAAAAUGAGUAAAAGAUGUCUCCAUGAAGCUCAUAAGAGCAUUCACAAUGGACUUCAUAAACUACCUCCUUAUAUAAAAUUUAGGGAGGAUGUGAGAAAACUCACAUCUAACCAUGCUCCCUAUUCAACUCCUAAAAUAGGGAGACCUCUAAGAGCUCCUAAAUAUGAGGAGAGAGAAAGAACUCCUACCUUAUAAUUAAAUGAUGCUUUACUAUUUAUUUUUAUUAUUUUAUAUGAAGAUGGAGCAUUUAUGCUAAACUAAAAAAAGAAAUAAAUCAUUUAUGAUUCCCCAAACUAGGAAGCAUGGUUGGAGUUGAAAUUUUAUAAGGAGCUCUUAAAAUAACUUUAUAGUGUUUUUAACGAAAAAAUAAGGAGCAUGAUUGUGUAUAUGCUUAUGCUAGAUCAUAUUCAGCAUAUACAACUUAAGGUAUGCUUUAGACCCAAAAACAAAAACAAAAAAUAAAAAGCUAUAUCAUGGUUAUGUUAACAUAAUAUAAUAUUAUUUUAUUAUUUCAAUAGAAGGGUCGAGUUCAAUUUUCGUGUUACCAUUUUCUUUGUGCCCAUCAUGUCCUCUUUAUUCUUUUAACAUGUGUCAUUUCAGAACUCUAACUUUGUUAAAUAUAUUAAUUUGUAUUAAAAUUAAAUAUAAUAAAAGAUUUUCUAUUUAAACCCCACACUUCUCUUUGUUCACCCCAAUACUUAAAUCAUUAAACUGUAAGUUUUAUUAUUGUGUAAAAAGACAAAAAAGGUCAUCUAACUUAAUAAUUAACCCUAGUACAUCUAUACACACACCCCACCACUCUUCAUAUUAAGUUUUAGAAACCUCCUUCUAAUUUCUUGUUUACAAGCUCUCUCUCUCUCUCUCUCAACAAUACCCAAGUGUUAGAAUUCCAGUUACAGUUCUUGGAGAGAGGUAAAUCUUUUCUCUUUCUUUAGAAAGUAUUAAAUUUCGGAUUUGGGGUUUCAUUUGUUUGUGUUUUUUUUGGUUGGGAGCAAAGAAAAUCUCUUUUAGUUAUUAUUUUUCAAUCUGGGGUGUAUUUAAGAGUAGUUUGGGAAGAUAGUGGGGUUUUCUUAGAAAUUAUGAAAAUUUAAAUUAAAAGUUAGGGUGAACUUAAAACAUAGGGUGAACUAAGAGAAGUGUGGGAUUUAAUUAGAAAAUCUCUAUAAUAAUUAUACAAACGCGAUUUCUUCAUCUUCUUUGCAACCCAGCGGCAACAACCUCUACCCCUACCGCCCAAGCCUCCUUUUCUCUCUCUUAAAAUUGUCGAACCAGAUCAAGAUUGUUGAACUGCCCAACCUACUCUCCACUUCGAGUGAAUCAUCAACAGUGACGCUUGCUUGCCCUUCGUCACUAAAUUAAAAUUUUCUCUCCAAACAACCACAUGCACUCUGCCUCGACGACGCCGAAAAAUCUUAAAGGGUAUAGUUUUUAGAUUUUUCAGUUCUUCAAAGUUUCAACCUUGGAGCAUUUUGAUCUUUGCCAAAGUUGUUUCGCCCCAAAAACCAACACUUGAUUCUCCUCGGAUCAUCUUCACAUGAGAGAGAGAGAGAGAGAGAGAGAGAGAGAGACCAUAGAAUCAUUGGCGGAGCCAAUUAAGGCCCACAAGGGUCACUUGACCCUUCUCAACAUUUUGAAAAUAUUAUAUUUAUUUAUGUUAUCCAAGUUGUUUUAUAACUAUAUUUACUAUAUUGACCAUUCUCACAAAUAUAAAUUGUCUACAAUGAACGUGAAUAUGAUCUAUAUUUGUUUUCAUGUCUUCAUAUGUCAUUUAUAUGUGUGUCAUGGAUUUAUUUGAUUUUCUCAUUCUAUCUAAAAUCAACUUUUAAUACUCUUUCAUUAUUUUUAGGUUGCUAGAAUUUGGGUUAUACUUACUAAGAUAUUAAAUUUGUGAUAUUGAAAUUUAAUUAUUAUAAUGAAUUCUUAUAUAUGUUUUUCUAUAAAAACUAAGUCCCUUGUAAUUAUAAAGCUAUUUAAAGUUGACCUUCUUUAAUAGAAUUUCUGGCUCCGCCAUUGCGUAGAAUGGUUGUGGUGGUCAGCUAUUGGAGUUAGGUUGGUGGUUCCUCGAGGGCUGUUGGGUAUUUACCUUUUUAGUUUUAAUGUUUUUUAAUUGAAUGAUAAGUUAACAGAUAAUUGAAUGAUAAGUUAAUAGAGUUAAGUUAAUGGUAAAUGAGAGGACAUGUGUCACAAAAAUAAAGGAGAAACAAGGUGGCACAUGGAAAAUGGCAACAGGAAAAAUAAACUCCUUUGGGUCGUCUCCUUUAUUUCGUGUUUUUUUUAGUCUGACCUUUAUUUCGUGUUUAUGACAAAAAGAAAAUGAACCUUCCUGUGUAGGCCAUGGCCCAUGCAUGCCUUGCCCAACAUAUUUAUAGACACAAGUUGGCAGCGUGCAAAUAAUCAUCAAUUAUAUUAAAGUGAUGUGUACCUUUUUAUAUAAGCAAGCAAUGUUGGUAGCAGGGAUCAAACACAUGACAUUAGAUUCAAGAAUAAACAUUUAACUACUUGAGUUACAAAUUUUUACUAACGCGACGUGUAGUUGUUAGUCAAUGAAUUUAAAUGAAAUCAUUGAUCCUAAAAAUGGAAUACAACUAAAAUAUAAGACAUGUAAUUUACAAAAAACGGUAGAUUGUAAAGUAAAAAGUAAUUGGGAAUUGCCAGGGAAAGUUUGAGUUCGAUGUAAAUGCACAACUUCACCAGAUCUUAUAUAGAAUAACACCGCACCAUUUGAAACGACAAAACAUUGGGACACAACAGAAAGAAACUAUUCAACAUAAACAAGUCUCUAAUGAUCUCCAUAUGAGAUUUUAAGCUCUAAAUCACACGUAUACUUCUUCUUAAGCUUUUUUACACACAUAACCAUCGCACACCCAUCCUUCUUGAGGAGGAUCUUGUUCCUGCUUGGCAUCACUUUUGGCUCCUUUAUCUUCCUCUAAUGCACAUUUUGGGUGGAGAUCAAAGUUACACGCCUCACAGUAGAAUGACCACCCCUCUUCUUCCGGCUCAUCACACCCAUCACAUGUAUAAUCUUUACGGCGAGCAAGCGCGAGCUCGUGCUCCUCAUGCUGUGCACUCUUCAACUUCUGAGGCCACCCCUUUGCCAUCUCCUCAGACUCUGCUUCUAUCUCUUUCAGCCGCUCUUCAGUGAAAGGAUAAGCAUUUGCCCCAUGCUGCAUAACGAGGUCUCUUGCUUCUUUUGUGACUGUUUGGCCAGUAGGACCAAUGGCUAUAAGCAUGGGGAUGCCUUGCACCUUGAAUCUGCGGCUUAAGGAUGCUUUUCUUGAGUCACCGAAGGGAAGAGCAAGCCAUGGCAUUCCAGAGAAAAAC